GUGAACGCUGGCGGUAGGCCUAACACAUACAAGUCGAACGGCAGCACAGUAAGAGCUUGCUCUUACGGGUGGCGAGUGGCAGACGGGUGAGGAAUACAUCGGAAUCUACUUUUUCGUGGGGGAUAACGUAGGGAAACUUACGCUAAUACCGCAUACGACCUACGGGUGAAAGCAGGGGAUCUUCGGACCUUGCUCGAUUGAAUGAGCCGAUGUCGGAUUAGCUAGUUGGCGGGGUAAAGGCCCACCAAGGCGACGAUCCGUAGCUGGUCUGAGAGGAUGAUCAGCCACACUGGAACUGUGACACGGUCCAGAAUCCUACGGGAGGCAGCCGUGGGGAAUAAUGGACAAAGAGCGAAAGCCUGAUCCAGCCAUACCGCGUGGGUGAAGAAGGCCUUCGGGUUGUAAAGCCCUUUUGUUGGGAAAGAAAAGCAGAAGGUUAAUACCCCGCUGUUCUGACGGUACCAAAAGAAUAAGCACCGGCUAACUUCGUG
rnacentral:rRNA from 1 species